CACUCUAGCAUUAAUAUUAUUAGAGGCAAUGCCUGCCCAGUGACUCAUGUUUAACGGCCGCGGUAUCCUGACCGUGCAAAGGUAGCAUAAUCACUUGUUCUUUAAUUAAGGACUUGUAUGAAUGGCUUGACGAGGGUUUAACUGUCUUUUUUCCCUAAUCAGUGAAAUUGACCUUCCAGUGAAGAGGCUGGAAUAAAUUAAUAAGACGAGAAGACCCUAUGGAGCUUUAAUUAAUCGACCUACUUACAAUUAACUCUUACCUAUAGGAAUAACUCUAAAAUUGAUAGAUCGAUAAUUUCGGUUGGGGUGACCUCGGAGUAUAAAUAACCCUCCGAAAGACAUAAAAUAGACCCACAGGUCGAAAAAUCCAUUAUUCCAAUUGACCCAAAAAAUUGAUCAACGAAAUAAGUUACCCUAGGGAUAACAGCGCAAUCCUAUUCAAGAGUCCAUAUCGACAAUAGGGUUUACGACCUCGAUGUUGGAUCAGGACAUCCUAAUGGUGUAACCGCUAUUAACGGUUCGUUUGUUCAACGAUUAACAGUCCU
rnacentral:rRNA from 1 species